rnacentral:rRNA from 1 species
UACAGAGACCUCGAGCGUUAUCCGGAUUUAUUGGGCGUAAAGAGUGCGUAGGCGGUUUUUUAAGUCAGUGGUCAAAUCUAGGGGCUCAACCCCUGGACUGCUAUUGAUACUGGAAGACUAGAGUCUGGAAGAGGUAAGCGGAAUUGCUGGUGUAGGGGUAAAAUCCGUUAAUAUCAGCAGGAACACCAAAUGCGCAAGCAGCUUACUGGGACAGUACUGACGCUGUUGCACGAAAGCGUGGGGAUCAAAG